rnacentral:rRNA from 1 species
GACGAACGCUGGCGGCGGGCUUAACACAUGCAAGUCGAACGGAAAGGCCCUGCUUUUGUGGGGUGCUCGAGUGGCGAACGGGUGAGUAACACGUGAGUAACCUGCUCUUGACUUUGGGAUAACUUCAGGAAACUGGGGCUACUCCCGUAUAGCAUCUCCUGUUGCAUGGUGGGGGUUGGAACGUUUCGGCGGUCGGGGAUGGAUGCGCGGCUUAUCAGUUUGUUGGUGGGGUAGUUGCUUACCAAGGCUUUGAAGGGUCGGCGGCCGGAGAGGGUGACCGGGCACAUUGGGACUGAGAGACGGCCCAGACUCCUACGGGAGGCAGCAGUGGGGAAUAUUGCACAAUGGGCGGAAGCCUGAUGCAGCAACGCCGCGUGCGGGAUGACGGUCUUCGGGUUGUAAACCGCUUUAGCCUGUGACGAAGCGUGACUGACGGUAAUGGGUAAAGAAGCACCGGCUAACUACGUG